CCAAUAGCGUAUAUUAAAGUUGUUGCAGUUAAAAAGCUCGUAGUUGAACUUCGGGGUUCACCCAUUGGUCAGGCUUAAUUGUCUGUACUGGUGAGAUGAGUCUCUACCUUCUGAGGAACUUUCAUGCCAUUUAUUUGGUGUGAUUGGAAAUCAGGACUGUUACUUUGAAAAAAUUAGAGUGUUUAAAGCAGGCUAACGUCUGAAUACAUUAGCAUGGAAUAAUGAAAUAGGACGGACUGAUUCUAUUUCGUUGGUUUCUAGGAUCACCGUAAUGCUUAAUUGGGAUAGUUGGGGGCAUUAGUUUUCAAUUGGUAGAGGUGAAAUUUUUGGAUUUAUUGAAGACUAAAUACUGCGAAAGCAUUUGCCAAGGAUGUUUUCAUUAAUUAAGAACGAAAGUUAGGGGAUCGAAGACGAUCAGAUACCGUCGUAGUCUUAACCAUAAACUAUGCCGACUAGGGAUCGGACGAAGUUAAUUUUAUAAUGACGCGUUCGGCACCUUACG
rnacentral:rRNA from 1 species